AAACAAUUUUAUUCACAUAAAACCAAACAAAAACUUAAAAACUUCGAUAAUGUCAAAUGCCUAUGGAGAUAGCUUAAAAAUUGCUAAAAAUUACAUCGCGUUUAGAAAGUGCUAAUACAUUUGGCAAACACGUCAAGACUGUACGCGGUGAAUUCUAACCGAGUUGCGAGAAAAACACAAAAUCGAAAAUAACAGAAUCCGUUAUGCAUC